ACCCUAACUAGACAAAUGAUAUAUGUUAUAAUCAUGAAGAUAGUUUUCCCAGGGGUGAGGCUUAUCCACUGAAUUCUAGAUGUGAUGACACCAGCGAUUUCCCCAAAUAUGGGAAACUCUGCUGCAUAAAUUCAUGGUAGUUGUGGACUUUAUUCAUACUCUCCUUUG
ensembl:snRNA U1 U1 spliceosomal RNA